UACGUAGGGUGCGAGCGUUAAUCGGAAUUACUGGGCGUAAAGUGUGCGCAGGCGGCCGCGCAAGUCGAGUGUGAAAGCCCCGAGCUUAACUUGGGAAUUGCGCUCGAAACUACGUGGCUGGAGUGUGGCAGAGGAAGGUGGAAUUCCACGUGUAGCGGUGAAAUGCGUAGAGAUGUGGAGGAACACCGAUGGCGAAGGCAGCCUUCUGGGCCAACACUGACGCUCGAUGCACGAAAGCCGUGGGGAGCAAACAGG
rnacentral:rRNA from 1 species